rnacentral:rRNA from 2 species
CGCGGUAAUUCCAGCUCCAAUAGCGUAUAUUUAAGUUGUUGCAGUUAAAAAGCUCGUAGUUGGAUUUCGGGCGUGGAGGUUCGGUCCGCCGUUUCGGUGUGCACUGUUGUUCUGCGUCUUUCUGCCGGGGACGCGCUUCUGGCCUUAAUUGGCUGGGACGUGGAUUCGGCGUGGUUACUUUGAAAAAAUUAGAGUGUUCAAAGCAAGCUAAAGCUCUGAAUACAUUAGCAUGGAAUAACGCGAGAGGACUCGGUCCUUAUUUUGUUGGUCUUCAAGGAUGGAGUAAUGAUUAAGAGGGACGGUUGGGGGCAUUCGUAUUUCAUUGUCAGAGGUGAAAUUCUUGGAUUUAUGAAAGACGAACUACUGCGAAAGCUUCUGCCAAAGACGUUUUCAUUGAUCAAGAACGAAAGUUGGGGGCUCGAAGAUGAUCAGAUACCAUCCUAGUCUCAACCAUAAACGAUGCCGACUAGGGAUUGGCAGGUGUUACAUCGAUGACUCUGCCAGCACCUUAUGAGAAAUCAAAGUUUUUGGGUUCCGGGGGGAGUAUGGUCGCAAGGCUGAAACUUAAGGGAAUUGACGG